rnacentral:tRNA from 1 species
CAUUAAGUGACUGAAAGUAAGUAUUGGUCUCUUAAACCAAGGAAUAGCAAAUAACAUAUGCUCUUAGUGG